CAGUCGCCGCGGGAAUACGUAGGGUGCAAGCGUUAAUCGGAAUUACUGGGCGUAAAGCGUGCGCAGGCGGUUUCGUAAGACAGAUGUGAAAUCCCCGGGCUUAACCUGGGAACUGCAUUUGUGACUGCGAGGCUAGAGUGUGUCAGAGGGGGGUGGAAUUCCACGUGUAGCAGUGAAAUGCGUAGAUAUGUGGAGGAACACCGAUGGCGAAGGCAGCCCCCUGGGAUAACACUGACGCUCAUGCACGAAAGCGUGGGGAGCAAACAGGAUUAGAUACCCGCGUAGUCCCUGUCUCUUAUAA
rnacentral:rRNA from 1 species